AGAGUUUGAUCCUGGCUCAGGACGAACGCUGGCGGCGUGCCUAACACAUGCAAGUCGAGCGAUGAAGCCCUUCGGGGUGGAUUAGCGGCGGACGGGUGAGUAACACGUGGGUAACCUGCCUCAAAGAGGGGGAUAGCCUUCCGAAAGGGAGAUUAAUACCGCAUAACAUUAGUUUUUCGCAUGAAGAACUAAUUAAAGGAGUAAUCCGCUUUGAGAUGGACCCGCGGCGCAUUAGCUAGUUGGUGAGGUAAAGGCUCACCAAGGCGACGAUGCGUAGCCGACCUGAGAGGGUGAUCGGCCACAUUGGAACUGAGACACGGUCCAGACUCCUACGGGAGGCAGCAGUGGGGAAUCUUCCGCAAUGGACGAAAGUCUGACGGAGCAACGCCGCGUGAGGGAUGAAGGCCUUCGGGUUGUAAACCUCUGUCUUCAGGGAAGAAAAAAAUGACGGUACCUGAGGAGGAAGCCCCGGCUAACUACGUGCCAGCAGCCGCGGUAAUACGUAGGGGGCGAGCGUUAUCCGGAAUUAUUGGGCGUAAAGGGCGCGUAGGCGGAUAUUUAAGUCAGGUGUGAAAACCCGGGGCUCAACCCCGUGAUUGCAUCUGAUACUGGGUAUCUUGAGGACAGGAGAGGAAAGUGGAAUUCCUAGUGUAGCGGUGAAAUGCGUAGAUAUUAGGAGGAACACCAGUGGCGAAGGCGACUUUCUGGACUGUAACUGACGCUGAGGCGCGAAAGCGUGGGGAGCAAACAGGAUUAGAUACCCUGGUAGUCCACGCCGUAAACGAUGAGUGCUGGGUGUA
rnacentral:rRNA from 1 species